rnacentral:tRNA from 12 species
GGGCCUGUAGCUCAGUUGGCAGAGCAUCGGACUUUUAAUCCGCGGGUCGAGGGUUCGAGCCCCUCCGGGCCCACCA